AGGACGAACGCUGGCGGCGUGCCUAACACAUGCAAGUCGAACGAGGUUCAUUCAGUAGCAAUACUGGAGAAGACCAAGUGGCGAACGGGUGAGUAGCACGUGAGCAACCUACCCCGAAGACCGGGACAACACCGGGAAACCGGUGCUAAUACUGGAUAUCCCCAUCGAAUCGCAUGGUUUGGUGAGGAAAUGGAUUCCGCUUCGGGAGGGGCUCGCGGCCUAUCAGCUAGUUGGUGAGGUAACGGCUCACCAAGGCGUCGACGGGUAGCUGGUCUGAGAGGACGAUCAGCCACACUGGGACUGAGACACGGCCCAGACUCCUACGGGAGGCAGCAGUGGGGAAUCUUGCACAAUGGGCGAAAGCCUGAUGCAGCAACGCCGCGUGAGGGACGAAGGCUUUCUGAGUUGUAAACCUCUUUCAGCAGGGACGAUUAUGACGGUACCUGCAGAAGAGCACCGGCAACUACGUGCCAGCACGCCGCGGUAAU
rnacentral:rRNA from 1 species